AUACGGAGGAUCCGAGCGUUAUCCGGAUUUAUUGGGUUUAAAGGGUGCGUAGGCGGCCUUUUAAGUCAGCGGUGAAAGUCUGUGGCUCAACCAUAGAAUUGCCGUUGAAACUGGGGGGCUUGAGUAUGUUUGAGGCAGGCGGAAUGCGUGGUGUAGCGGUGAAAUGCUUAGAUAUCACGCAGAGCCCCGAUUGCGAAGGCAGCCUGCCAAGCCAUGACUGACGCUGAUGCACGAAAGCGUGGGGAUCAAACAGGAUUAGAUACCCUGGUAGUCCACGCAGUAAACGAUGAUCACUAGCUGUUUGCGAUACACUGUAAGCGGCACAGCGAAAGCGUUAAGUGAUCCACCUGGGGAGUACGCCGGCAACGGUGAAACUCAAAUGAAUUGACGGGG
rnacentral:rRNA from 1 species